rnacentral:rRNA from 1 species
AUGAUUGUUCUGAAGUUGGACUUCAGGAAAGCUUUCGACGGUGUUAGUUGGGCAUGCAUUUCCAGCAUUAUGGAAGCACGGGGUUUUCCCCGAAGAUGGAUUGAUUGGAUUUCUUCACUCCUACACACCUCUAGCUCUAGAGUCAUGGUCAAUGGUGAGCUAGGUGACCCGAUCGUAUCCAAGAGGGGGUUCAGGCAGGGUGACUCUUUGUCUCCGUUUUUGUUCAUCUUGGUGGCUGACGUGUUGCAAAGGCUGUGCUGUGUUGCAUUAGAGGCCGGGAGGUUGGUACAUCCUCUCGGAUCUGACAGGUUGUUUUCGGUGCUGCAGUAUGCGGACGACACCUUACUUCUCUUCCAGGGUAGCAUGCAGCAGGCCACCAUCAUCCGGGAUCUUUUAACAGCUUUCAUGGAUUUCACUAGUUUGCACAUAAAUUUUGACAAGAGCACUUUGGUUCCCAUUGGGCUGGAUGCUGACACCACAUCUAAGAUUGCUACUCUGUUCGGCUGCCCAGUUUCUUCCUUCCCAUGCACUUAUCUUGGAUUCCCCUUAUCUUUGCACAAAAUCAAGCAUGGCAUGCUGCUGUCGGUGAUCCACAAGGUAGACAAGUGA